rnacentral:rRNA from 1 species
AUUGAACGCUGGCGGCAGGCCUAACACAUGCAAGUCGAACGGUAACAGGAAGCAGCUUGCUGCUUCGCUGACGAGUGGCGGACGGGUGAGUAAUGUCUGGGAAACUGCCUGAUGGAGGGGGAUAACUACUGGAAACGGUAGCUAAUACCGCAUAACGUCGCAAGACCAAAGAGGGGGACCUUAGGGCCCCUUGCCAUCGGAUGUGCCCAGAUGGGAUUAGCUAGUAGGUGGGGUAACGGCUCACCUAGGCGACGAUCCCUAGCUGGUCUGAGAGGAUGACCAGCCACACUGGAACUGAGACACGGUCCAGACUCCUACGGGAGGCAGCAGUGGGGAAUAUUGCACAAUGGGCGCAAGCCUGAUGCAGCCAUGCCGCGUGUAUGAAGAAGGCCUUCGGGUUGUAAAGUACUUUCAGCGGGGAGGAAGGGAGUAAAGUUAAUACCUUUGCUCAUUGACGUUACCCGCAGAAGAAGCACCGGCUAACUCCGUG